rnacentral:rRNA from 2 species
AGUGAACGCUGGCGGCAGGCCUAACACAUGCAAGUCGAACGGCAGCACAGUAAGAGCUUGCUCUUAUGGGUGGCGAGUGGCGGACGGGUGAGGAAUACAUCGGAAUCUACUCUUUCGUGGGGGAUAACGUAGGGAAACUUACGCUAAUACCGCAUACGACCUACGGGUGAAAGCGGAGGACCUUCGGGCUUCGCGCGAUUGAAUGAGCCGAUGUCGGAUUAGCUAGUUGGCGGGGUAAAGGCCCACCAAGGCGACGAUCCGUAGCUGGUCUGAGAGGAUGAUCAGCCACACUGGAACUGAGACACGGUCCAG